AGCAUUAUACCGUGAAACUGCGAAUGGCUCAUUAAAUCAGUUAUCGUUUAUUUGAUAGUACCUUACUACUUGGAUAACCGUGGUAAUUCUAGAGCUAAUACAUGCUGAAAACCCCAACUUCGGAAGGGGUGUAUUUAUUAGAUAAAAAACCAACGCCCUUCGGGGCUUCUUGGUGAUUCAUGACAACUUUACGGAUCGCAUGGCCUUGCGCCGGCGACGGUUCAUUCAAAUUUCUGCCCUAUCAACUUUCGAUGGUAAGGUAUUGGCUUACCAUGGUUUCAACGGGUAACGGGGAAU
rnacentral:rRNA from 1 species